rnacentral:rRNA from 1 species
GACGUAGGGGACGAGCGUUGUCCGGAUUCAUUGGGCGUAAAGCGCGCGUAGGCGGCCACGCAAGUCGGGUAUGAAAUCCCGGAGCUCAACUCCGGAACUGCACUCGAAACUGCGCGGCUUGAGGUAGGUAGGGGAGAUCGGAAUUCCUGGUGUAGCGGUGGAAUGCGCAGAUAUCAGGAGGAACACCGGUGGCGAAGGCGGAUCUCUGGGCCUUACCUGACGCUGAGACGCGAAAGCGUGGGGAGCAAACAGG